UACGAAGGGGACUAGCGUUGUUCGGAAUCACUGGGCGUAAAGCGCACGUAGGCGGAUAUGCCAGUCAGGGGUGAAAUCCCGGGGCUCAACCUCGGAACAGCCUUUGAUACAGCAUAUCUUGAGUCCGAUAGAGGUGGGUGGAAUUCCUAGUGUAGAGGUGAAAUUCGUAGAUAUUAGGAAGAACACCGGUGGCGAAGGCGGCCCACUGGAUCGGUACUGACGCUGAGGUGCGAAAGCGUGGGGAGCAAACGGG
rnacentral:rRNA from 1 species